UACGUAGGUGGCAAGCGUUGUCCGGAUUUACUGGGCGUAAAGAGCGCGCAGGCGGUCGUUCAAGUCGCGUGUGAAAGCCCCCGGCUCAACUGGGGAGGGUCACGCGAUACUGAUCGACUCGAAGGCAGGAGAGGGUAGUGGAAUUCCCGGUGUAGUGGUGAAAUGCGUAGAUAUCGGGGAGGAACACCAGUGGCGAAGGCGACUACCCUGGCCUGUUUCUUGACGCUGAGGCGCGAAAGCGUGGGGAGCAAACAGGG
rnacentral:rRNA from 1 species